rnacentral:rRNA from 1 species
UGGGGAAUAUUGCACAAUGGGCGCAAGCCUGAUGCAGCCAUGCCGCGUGUGUGAAGAAGGCCUUCGGGUUGUAAAGCACUUUCAGCGAGGAGGAAGGUGGUGAGCUUAAUACGCUCAUCAAUUGACGUUACUCGCAGAAGAAGCACCGGCUAACUCCGUGCCAGCAGCCGCGGUAAUACGGAGGGUGCAAGCGUUAAUCGGAAUUACUGGGCGUAAAGCGCACGCAGGCGGUUUGUUAAGUCAGAUGUGAAAUCCCCGGGCUCAACCUGGGAACCGCAUUUGAAACUGGCAAGCUAGAGUCUCGUAGAGGGGGGUAGAAUUCCAGGUGUAGCGGUGAAAUGCGUAGAGAUCUGGAGGAAUACCGGUGGCGAAGGCGGCCCCCCUGGACGAAGACUGACGCUCAGGUGCGAAAGCGUGGGGCAGCAAACAGGAUUAGAUACCCUGGUAGUCCAGCGCUGUAAAACGAUGUCGAUUUGGAGGUUGUGCCCUUGAGGCGUGGCUUCCGGAGCUAACGCGUUAAAUCGACCGCCUGGGGAGUACGGCCGCAAGGUUAAAACUCAAAUGAAUUG